AUGGGCUUGGGUGGGCACGGUGUUAGGGUAUCGGCGCGAACUGCCAGGGAAGUCGGUGUGAGUCCGACACAGGCCCGCUACGGUGUUCCGCGGCGCAUUCCGGUGCGCCACGGUCAGUCCGAAUACCGGCUUCGCGUUGCCAACACCG
rnacentral:ncRNA from 2 species